UACGAAGGGUGCAAGCGUUACUCGGAAUUACUGGGCGUAAAGCGUGCGUAGGCGGUUUGUUAAGUCCGUUGUGAAAGCCCUGGGCUCAACCUGGGAAUUGCAGUGGAUACUGGCGAGCUAGAGUGCGGUAGAGGAUGGUGGAAUUCCCGGUGUAGCGGUGAAAUGCGUAGAGAUCGGGAGGAACACCCGUGGCGAAGGCGGCCAAUCUGGACCAGCACGUGACGCUGAGGCGCGAAAGCUAGGGGAGCAAACAGGG
rnacentral:rRNA from 1 species